rnacentral:tRNA from 1 species
CAGGAAAUAGUUUAAAUUAAAAUAUUAAUUUUGGAGAUUAAAGAUAUGAGUUAUUUAUUUUCCUGA